rnacentral:tRNA from 10 species
CGGGGAGUGGCGCAGUCUGGUAGCGCAUCUGCUUUGGGAGCAGAGGGUCGCAGGUUCGAAUCCUGUCUCCCCGACCA